AAUCAACGCUGGCGGCGUGCCUAACACAUGCAAGUCGAGCGCGAAAGUGAGCUUCGGCUCACGAGUAGAGCGGCGCACGGGUGAGUAACGCGUGGGUGAUCUACCCUCGAGUGGGGAAUAACACCGGGAAACUGGUGCUAAUACCGCAUAACAUUCUCGGUUCGCUCCGAGGAUCAAAGCUGGGGACCGUAAGGCCUGGCGCUUGAGGAGGAGCCCGCGUCCGAUUAGCUUGUUGGCGGGGUAAUGGCCCACCAAGGCUUCGAUCGGUAGCCGGCCUGAGAGGGCGGACGGCCACACUGGAACUGAGACACGGUCCAGACUCCUACGGGAGGCAGCAGUGGGGAAUUUUGCGCAAUGGGGGAAACCCUGACGCAGCAACGCCGCGUGGAGGAUGAAGGCCCUCGGGUCGUAAACUCCUGUCGAUCGGGAAGAAUGCACUCGGGUCAAUAGCCCGUUGUGUUGACUGUACCGGUGGAGGAAGCCACGGCUAACUCUGUG
rnacentral:rRNA from 1 species